GACGAACGCUGGCGGCGUGCUUAACACAUGCAAGUCGAACGGUGAAGCGCUUGCCUUUUUGGUGGGUGUGGAUGAGUGGCGAACGGGUGAGUAACACGUGAGUAACCUGCCCUCUUCUUCUGGAUAACCUCAUGAAAGUGGGGCUAAUACGGGGUAUUCCGGGUCUGUCGCAUGGCGGGUUUGGGAAAGAUUGCGCCUUUGGGUGUUUUCGGUGGGGGAUGGGCUCGCGGCCUAUCAGCUUGUUGGUGGGGUGACGGCCUACCAAGGCGGUGACGGGUAGCCGGCCUGAGAGGGUGGACGGCCACACUGGGACUGAGACACGGCCCAGACUCCUGCGGGAGGCAGUAGUGGGGAAUAUUGCACAAUGGGCGCAAGCCUGAUGCAGCGACGCCGCGUGAGGGAUGGAGGCCUUCGGGUUGUGAACCUCUUUCGCCAGUGAAGCAGGCCUGCUCCUGUGUGGGUGGGUUGACGGUAGCUGGAUAAGAAGCGCCGGCUAACUACGUG
rnacentral:rRNA from 1 species